AUGUUGUUUGUACUUGAGAUUAUUUUGAAGUCUAAUGAUGAGUUUGUAGAGUUUGUUCCAGAGUCAGAGAGCCGUGUCUCUGUACAGUCAGAGGUUUUUGUACGGCGGUUCAAUGAGUUUGUAUCACUGUGGUACACGUUCGGUGGAGGAACCAGACUGGAGUUUGGAAGUGAUGUUCGUCCCACCCUGACAGUCCUGCUCCCCUCCAGCGACGACCUGCAGACGGGUAAUGUCACACUCAUGUGUCUGGCCAACAAGGGCUUCCCCUCAGACUGGAGUCUGUCCUGGAAGGUGGACGGCUGCAGUAAAAACUGCUAUGAGGAGAGCAGGAGCCUCGGACUGCUGCAGAAGGACGGCCACUACAGCUGGAGCAGCACCCUGAGGGUCCCUGCAGACCAGUGGAUGAAGGUGGGAUAUCUGACCUGUGAGGCUACCAGGGAAUCCCAGACUCCAGUUUCAGAGAUACUGAGGAGAGACCAGUGUUCCCAGUACUGACCUGAUUCACUGGGACUUCACUCUGGAUUCAUCAACUUUCUCCUGGUCUUUCUCCU